AUCUUAUUAUUAUAUUAAGUAUUAUUAACUUCCAAUUAAUAGGUCCGCAAUGGAUAAGAUA
rnacentral:tRNA from 1 species